CAGCUGAAGUGUGUUUAUGCAAAUUCACCCUGUUAUUAAAAACAGCCUCUUGCAGUUUGAAGUUUGUGUCACACGACUGAAUCAAAGAGCAUGAUGAUGGGGCUGAGGGUCACUCAGUACUACAUCUUUGUUAUAAUGUUAACCAAAGGUGUCAGCAGUGAUGAGAUCAGACUGGACCAGUCUCCUGCUGUGGUAAAGAGACCUGGAGAAACUGUGAAGAUCUCCUGUAAGAUACACGGAUAUUCAAUGACAAGCUACAGCAUACACUGGAUGAGACAGAAACCAGGGAAAGCUCUGGAAUGGCUUGGCUGGAUGUAUACAGGCAAUAAUGAUGCAACAUAUGCAGAGUCUGUGAAGAACCAGCUCACCUUUACAGAAGACGUCUCAGCAAGCACACAGUACUUAGAGGCCAAGAGUAUGAGGACAGAGGACACUGCGGUUUAUUACUGCACCCGACAAGCCACAGUGACUGAAGCUGAGGAAGCAGCUGUACUAAAACCAGACACACAUUGUAACUGAACUAACUGAAGUUGCUUAACUUAUAAUUGUAACACAGUUGAACACAGUUUGUAUCUAUUUACUGCUCCAAUUAUCUAUAAAUGUACCUGGAUAUAACCCUAAAGUAGAUGUGGCCUAAACUAAUUAUCAGGAAUGAAAAUAUACAUAAACCCUGUUUCUAUGAUCCUGGAAACACUUGAAAAAGCUACAGGUAGAAAUAACAGCUCUGUCAGCAUGCUGUGUGAAUGUGGUUCUGACUGUUCCUCAAACCAAUAAACUAGUAGACAUCACAGUCCCAAUACACACUGUAAUAGUUUGACUCACUUUUAUAUUUAUGCUUUUAUGUGUAUCACAGUGUAAGAAAAAAUCAAGCCAAAGCAGCAGAAGUGGUAGGGAGCGUUAACAAAUACUACAAACAGAGACAGAGUGAGAACUAUGGAAACAGUUUAAAAUCAGAGGAUGAAAGUCAUUUACAUACUAAAUGUAACUUACAGAUUCAGUGUAAAA